UACGUAGGGUGCGAGCGUUGUCCGGAUUUAUUGGGUUUAAAGGAUGCGUAGGCUGCCUAGUAAGUCAGUGGUUAAAGACGGCAGCUCAACUGUCGGGGUGCCAUUGAUACUGUUAGGCUUGAAUGAGCUCGGGGUAGGUGGAAUUUAUGGUGUAGCGGUGAAAUGCAUAGAUACCAUAAGGAACGCCGAUCGUGGAGACAACUUACCAGGGCUAAAUUGACGCUGAGGCACGAAAGUGCGGGGAUCAAACAGG
rnacentral:rRNA from 1 species